rnacentral:tRNA from 1 species
UAAAGCAUAAUUAAACAAAUAAUAAAAGACUUUUAAUCUAACAUUGUAGAACUUUCUACUGCUUUAA